AGAGUUUGAUCCUGGCUCAGAACGAACGCUGGCGGCAGGCCUAAUACAUGCAAGUCGAGCGCCCAGCAACGGGAGCGGCGGACGGGUGAGUAACACGUGGGAAUAUGCCCCGAGGUACGGAACAACUCAGGGAAACUUGAGCUAAUACCGUAUGAUCCGGCAACGGCAAAGAUUUAUCGCCUUGGGAUUAGCCCGCGUCCGAUUAGCUAGUUGGUGAGGUAAUGGCCCACCAAGGCACCGAUCGGUAGCUGGUUUGAGAGAACGACCAGCCACACUGGGACUGAGACACGGCCCAGACUCCUACGGGAGGCAGCAGUAGGGAAUCUUGGACAAUGGGGGAAACCCUGAUCCAGCCAUGCCGCGUGAGUGAUGAAGGCCUUCGGGUUGUAAAACUCUUUCGGCGGGGACGAUAAUGACGGUACCCGCAGAAGAAGCUCCGGCUAACUUCGUGCCAGCAGCCGCGGUAAUACGAAGGGGGCUAGCGUUGUUCGGAAUUACUGGGCGUAAAGCGCGCGCAGGCGGCCUUUCAAGUCAGGGGUGAAAGCCCAGAGCUCAACUCUGGAAUUGCCUUUGAAACUGUCAGGCUUGAGUACGGGAGAGGUGAGUGGAAUUCCCAGUGUAGAGGUGAAAUUCGUAGAUAUUGGGAAGAACACCGGUGGCGAAGGCGGCUCACUGGCCCGUUUCUGACGCUCAGGCGCGACAGCGUGGGGAUCAAACAGGAUUAGAUACCCUAGUAGUCC
rnacentral:rRNA from 1 species